rnacentral:rRNA from 1 species
AACGGUCCUAAGGUAGCGAAAUUCCUUGUCGGGUAAGUUCCGACCCGCACGAAAGGCGUAACGAUUUGGGCACUGUCUCAACAACAGACUCGGUGAAAUUGUAAUUCCGGUGAAGAUGCCGGAUACCGGCGACAGGACGGAAAGACCCCAUGGAGCUUUACUGUAGCUUGACAUUGGGUCUUGGUACUACAUGUACAGGAUAGGUGGGAGGCUUUGAAACCAGGACGCCAGUUUUGGCGGAGCCAUCCUUGGGAUACCACCCUUGUAGUACUGGGACUCUAACCAUAGGCCAUGAAUCUGGUCUUGGGACACUGUCAGGUGGGCAGUUUGACUGGGGCGGUCGCCUCCCAAA